CCUACGGGAGUCAGCAGUGAGGAAUAUUGGUCAAUGGGCGCGAGCCUGAACCAGCCAAGUAGCGUGAAGGAUGACUGCCCUACGGGUUGUAAACUUCUUUUAUAAAGGAAUAAAGUGAGGCACGUGUGCCUUUUUGUAUGUACUUUAUGAAUAAGGAUCGGCUAACUCCGUGCCAGCAGCCGCGGUAAUACGGGGGAUCCGAGCGUUAUCCGGAUUUAUUGGGUGUAAAGGGAGCGUAGGGGGAGUAUCAAGGCCGCGGUAAAAAUGCGGGGGUCAAACCCGGCGUGCCGUUGAAACUGAUGUUCUUGAGUGGGCGAGAAGUAUGCGGAAUGCGUGGUGUAGCGGUGAAAUGCAUAGAUAUCACGCAGAACUCCGAUUGCGAAGGCAGCAUACCGGCGCCCAACUGACGCUGAAGCACGAAAGCGUGGGUAUCGAACAGGAUUAGAUACCCGAGUAGUC
rnacentral:rRNA from 1 species